rnacentral:tRNA from 1 species
GCGCCGGUGGUGUAAAGGCGUAGAGCAUUCCCGCCCGGUCAGAGGGAGGUGUGGGUUCGAGUCCCGCCCGACGCU